UACGGAGGGAGCUAGCGUUGUUCGGAAUUACUGGGCGUAAAGCGCGCGUAGGCGGCUUUGUAAGUUAGAGGUGAAAGCCCGGAGCUCAACUCCGGAACUGCCUUUAAAACUGCAUCGCUUGAAUCCAGGAGAGGUGAGUGGAAUUCCGAGUGUAGAGGUGAAAUUCGUAGAUAUUCGGAAGAACACCAGUGGCGAAGGCGGCUCACUGGACUGGUAUUGACGCGUGAGGUGCGAAAGCGUGGGGAGCAAACAGG
rnacentral:rRNA from 1 species